rnacentral:misc_RNA from 1 species
UUUCCUCAGGUGAACCUGCGGAAGGAUCAUUGUCGUGACCCUGACCAAAAUAGACCGUGCGUGCGUCAUCCAAUCCACUGGCGACGGCACCGUCCGUCGCUCGGUCAAGUCCUCGACCGCCUCCCCUCCUCAGAGUGGGGGCUCCGGGAGCCCACGGCGCCGAAGGCGUCAAGGAACACUGUGCCUAACCCGGGGGCAUGGCUAGCUUGCUAGUUGUCCCCUGUGUUGCAAAGCUAUUUAAUCCACACGACUCUCGGCAACGGAUAUCUCUGCUCUC